rnacentral:rRNA from 5 species
GGGUUGUGAGGUUAAGCGACUAAGCGUACACGGUGGAUGCCCUGGCAGUCAGAGGCGAUGAAGGGCGUGCUAAUCUGCGAUAAGCGCCGGUAAGGUGAUAUGAACCGUUAUAACCGGCGAUACCCGAAUGGGGAAACCCAGUGUGAUUCGUCACACUAUCAUUAACUGAAUCCAUAGGUUAAUGAGGCGAACCGGGGGAACUGAAACAUCUAAGUACCCCGAGG